GACGAACGCUGGCGGCGUGCUUAACACAUGCAAGUCGAACGGAAAGGCCUGCUUUCCCUUGUGGAUUGCGGGUACUCGAGUGGCGAACGGGUGAGUAACACGUGAGUGAUCUGCCCCCAACUUGGGUAUAAGCCUGGGAAACUGGGUCUAAUUCCCGAUAGGACUGCAGGGUGGUGCCUGUGGUGGAAAACGAUUUUCUAGUGGUUGGGGAUGAGCUCGCGGCCUAUCAGCUUGUUGGUGGGGUAAUGGCCUACCAAGGCGGCGACGGGUAGCCGGCCUGAGAGGGUGGACGGCCACAUUGGGACUGAGAUACGGCCCAGACUCCUACGGGAGGCAGCAGUGGGGAAUAUUGCACAAUGGGCGGAAGCCUGAUGCAGCGACGCCGCGUGGGGGAUGACGGCCUUCGGGUUGUAAACUCCUUUCGACCGCGAGGAAGCCACCUGGUUGGAUGGGUGGUGACGGUAGUGGUAGAAGAAGCACCGGCUAACUACGUG
rnacentral:rRNA from 1 species